GCGGAUGUGGUGGAAUGGUAGACACGCACACUUGAGAUGUGUGUUGCAUAAUUGCAAUACGAGUUCAAGUCUCGUCGUCCGUAUU
rnacentral:tRNA from 1 species